UGGGGGAUAUUGCACAAUGGGGGGAACCCUGAUGCAGCGACGCCGCGUGAGGGAAGAAGGUUUUCGGAUUGUAAACCUCUGUUCUUGGUGACGAAGAUGACGGUAGCCAAGGAGGAAGCCACGGCUAACUACGUGCCAGCAGCCGCGGUAAUACGUAGGUGGCAAGCGUUGUCCGGAAUUACUGGGUGUAAAGGGAGCGUAGGCGGGAAGAUAAGUUGGACGUAUAACCUAUCGGCUCAACCGGUAGUGGCGUUCAAAACUGUUUUUCUUGAGUGAAGUAGAGGUAAGCGGAAUUCCUAGUGUAGCGGUGAAAUGCGUAAAUAUUAGGAGGAACACCAGUGGCGAAGGCGGCUUACUGGGCUUUAACUGACGCUGAGGCUCGAAAGCGUGGGUAGCAAACA
rnacentral:rRNA from 1 species